rnacentral:rRNA from 1 species
UACGUAGGUGGCAAGCGUUGUCCGGAUUUACUGGGCGUAAAGAGCGCGCAGGCGGUCGUUCAAGUCGCGUGUGAAAGCCCCCGGCUCAACUGGGGAGGGUCACGCGAUACUGAUCGACUCGAAGGCAGGAGAGGGUAGUGGAAUUCCCGGUGUAGUGGUGAAAUGCGUAGAUAUCGGGAGGAACACCAGUGGCGAAGGCGG